rnacentral:rRNA from 1 species
AAGUCGUAACAAGGUCUCCGUUGGUGAACCAGCGGAGGGAUCAUUACCGAGUUGCAAGACUCCCAACCCUUGUGAACCUACCUGAGUUGCCUCGGCACGGCGCCCCAGGGCGGGGCCUCGGCCUCCUACGGGAGGCGCCUGCCGGCGAUGGCACCAACCAAACUCUGCCUUAAAUUUCUUCUGAGUCGAUAUUAAAUAAGUCAAAACUUUCAGCAACGGAUCUCUUGGUUCUGGCAUCGAUGAAGAACGCAGCGAAAUGCGAUAAGUAAUGUGAAUUGCAGAAUUCAGUGAAUCAUCGAAUCUUUGAACGCACAUUGCGCCCGCCAGUAUUCUGGCGGGCAUGCCUGUUCGAGCGUCUUUUCAACCCUCGGGCCCUAGGGAUUCGUCCCCUGCGGCCCGGCGUUGGGGCCCCGCGGCCGCCGCGGUCCCCUAAAUACAGCGGCGGGCUUCCGUGCUGCCUUGGCGUAGUAGAUACUAUCUCGCCUGCGGCGGUGUGUGAGGCCCUGCCUCCAAAACCCACCAGAAAAGUUGGACCUCGAAUCAGGUAGGAAUACCCGCUGAACUUAAGCAUAUCAAUAAGCGGAGGAAAAGAAACCAACAGGGAUUGCCCUAGUAACGGCGAGUGAAGCGGCAACAGCUCAAAUUUGAAAUCUGGCCCUGUGCCCGAGUUGUAAUUUGCAGAGGAUCGUUGGGCGCGGUAGCUGCUGAGUCCCCUGGAAUGGGGCGCCACAGAGGGUGAGAGCCCCGUACGGCGGCGGACCAAGCCUAUGUAUCGAUCCCUCGACGAGUCGAGUAGUUUGGGAAUGCUGCUCUAAACGGGAGGUAAAUUUCUUCUAAAGCUAAAUAUAGGCCAGGGACCGAUAGCGCACAAGUAGAGUGAUCGAAAGAUGAAAAGCACUUUGAAAAGAGGGUUAAACAGUACGUGAAAUUGCUGAAAGGGAAGCGCUUGUGACCAGACUUGCGCCCGGUUGAUCAUCCAGCGUUCUCGCUGGUGCACUCUGCCGGGCACAGGCCAGCAUCGGUUUCGCCGGGGGGAUAAAAGCUUCGGGAAUGUAGCUCCUUCGGGAGUGUUAUAGCCUGUCGCGGAAUACCCUCGUGGGGACUGAGGUACGCGCUCCGCAAGGAUGCUGGCGUAAUGGUCAUCAGCGACC